GUCCGGUUCACCGGACUAGGUGAUCCACACCAGUGUUUCGGACAGCGGUUCGAUUCCGCUCAGCUCCACCA
rnacentral:tmRNA from 1 species